UCCCUGGUGGUCCAGUGGUUAGGACUCUGUGCUGUCACUGCUGGGGCCUGAGUUCAAUUCCUGGUUGGGGAA
rnacentral:tRNA from 1 species